GGCGACGGUGGUUGUGGUGGUGCUAGUGGUGCUGGUGCUGGUGCUGGUGCUGGUGGUGGUGGUGCAGUUCGGCUCAGCAACUACAGUGAGUGAACCAGAGAGAGAGAGAGAGAGAGAGAGAGAGAGAGAGAGAGCACCCACCACUCCAGAAAGUAGCCAUGGAUAUCUUAUCUGUGCCCAUCUCUGCCUCGUAUUCCGUCAGUCCGCACCACUCCCAACGGUAACUUGAAAUGGAGCGCCUGCCGUAGUUCCCCUUGAAAACAGAAAACGGAGCUAAUAAACUUUCAUUGUGACCGGA